rnacentral:lncRNA from 1 species
CUGGUCCGCCACUGCCACAUCUAAGGGCAGCGCGCGCGCGCGUGUCUGUGUGUGUGUGUGUGCGUGUGUGUGGAGUUGGCGAUCGAGGGUCACGCGCAGGUGGCUCUGCGGCGGUGGUGGCGGCGGUCGCAGAGGCGACACCGUUGGAGGCAGAGGCAGAGGGCCGGCCGGACCACCAUCCCUGCGGGCGGGGUGACAGUUCCAGAGAGGAAACAGAAGAACACAAAGUCUCUUGAGGUAUACACUUGGAAUUGGCACGCCAUCACUCCUGCUACCUUCUAUUGGCCAAAACAAGUCACACGGCCAGCCUAGAUUUAAGGGCAGGGGAAGCAGACCCCGCCUCUUGAUGAGAGGAGCUGCAAAGUCAUGUUGCAAAGGCAUGGACACCAGGAGGGCGUUAACUGAGACCACGAAUGCAAUUAAUCCACCACUCCG